rnacentral:rRNA from 1 species
UGCAGUCGAGCGGACCAAUGUUCAUUUCAGCUUUGCUGAUUUGAGCAACGGUUAGCGGCGGACGGGUGAGUAACGCGUGGGCAACCUGCCCUGUGCAGGGGGACAACACAGCGAAAGCUGUGCUAAUACCCCAUAAGACUACGCUAUCGCAUGAUAGAGUAGUCAAAGCUUUAGCGGCACAGGAUGGGCCCGCGUCUGAUUAGCUAGUUGGUGGGGUAACGGCCUACCAAGGCGACGAUCAGUAGCCGACCUGAGAGGGUGAUCGGCCACACUGGAACUGAGACACGGUCCAGACUCCUACGGGAGGCAGCAGUGGGGAAUAUUGCACAAUGGGGGAAACCCUGAUGCAGCAACGCCGCGUGAGCGAAGAAGGCCUUCGGGUCGUAAAGCUCUGUCCUAAGGGAAGAAGCAUGACGGUACCUUAGGAGGAAGCCCCGGCUAACUACGUGCCAGCAGCCGCGGUAAUACGUAGGGGGCGAGCGUUAUCCGGAAUCACUGGGCGUAAAGGGUGCGUAGGCGGCCGAGUAAGCCAGAGGUGAAAGGCUACGGCUUAACCGUAGUAAGCCUUUGGAACUACUUGGCUUGAGUGCAGGAGAGGGAGAGUGGAAUUCCUNAGUGUAGCGGUGAAAUGCGUAGAUAUUAGGAGGGAACACCAGGUGGGCGAAGGCGACUCUCUGGACUGUAACUGACGCUGANGCACGAAAGCGUGGGGGAGCAAACAGGAUUAAAUACCCUGGUAGUCCACGCCGUAAACGAUGAGUGCUAGGGUGUCGGGGNUCACACCCUCGGUGCCGGAGUNACGCAAUAAGCCCUCCNCCUGGGGAGUACGGUCCCAAGACUGAAACUCAAAGGGAUUGGCGGGGACC